rnacentral:lncRNA from 1 species
CCCGUGUAUAACUCCCCCAAAUUGGAGAACCCAUUUUGCACGAGAAUAACUCCGACGUCUUCCAGUGGAAAUUGCAAAAACAAUGUGUUUUGUCUCAUUUAUCACACGUUGUCCGACCAUAUACCUUCAACUUCCAGUGUUGAAGAGGCAUGAAAAUUCUCUUCCCCCGAGUUCCUAAGCCCUGAAAACUCCAUCCCGACGGUUUACUCCGGCUACAAUCGCCAUGCCCGACCAUAGCUUACACCUCUGGUGUUUUCUCAUUUGAACCACACCGUGCAUUUUUGCCAGCGAAGAUCAUUCGGAGUCCCGGCCAGAUUCUCCACCUCGGUGUUUGCCCACGUGAGCCACACUCUUCUCAUUUUCUUUAGUGUUGUGCAAUUUUAAAUUUCCAACACCCGCUUCUUCGAAAGAUUUGUGUUUUUAAGGAUUAGCGUUGUGCAUUUUUUAUUUCCAGUAUUUGCUGCUUUGGAAGAUCUGUAUUUGCAAGGAUUAGUGUUGUACAUUUUUCAACUAUGCAAUUCAACGGUGGCUAUUAGUUAAUCCACUAAUGUGUAAGAUUUUUAUUUUUUUUCCCAGAAUAAACCUUAGAAAAUCCUCAUAUUGUCUCAUAUUAUAUGUACUUUUUUGUUUUGCAGCAUCAAGCAAGAAUAUUGGUAUAGAAGAGAUACACUUGGUUUUUUUGAAUGCUGA